rnacentral:lncRNA from 1 species
UCGUUGAGAGAAGGAGCACAUGAGCUUCCGUGCCUUCCAAGCAUGUACUCGUAGGAGCAAGAAAAUUAGGCCUGGGACAAGUUCAUGCUCACAGAGAGCAUCCAUUCAACGUUGGGCCUGACUUCCUGGAUCUUGUGAUCUAAGCCUGUGGCCAUAAGUGCUCGGUGUGCACCUCGAAGAGACACACGGCUAGGAAUAAACAGCAAAUCGCUCUAUUACGAGUGUCAGAAUAGAGGGUAGGCGAUUGCCCAGAUUACCUGAACAACAAGACUUCAAAACGAAACAAAACUAAACAAAACAAAACGGAACGAAUCGAAACGAAACGAAACGAAACGAAAGGUGCACAACAGAUGAUGAUCGGUCUCCCGCUAAAUACAAAGUGUCACCAGUCAAGCACAGAAAAAACACUUGCUAACCUAGGCUCCAUUGCCUUAAACUUUGUUCAUCAGUUAAGACAAGAGUUAAGUCCAUCUUGUGGAGAGAAAGAAGGAUGGGAAAAGUUUCUUAGGCGUGAAUGUCAAAACAAAAUUAUGUCAUCAAGGCUCCUGGUGUAGUUUCCUUUUGUGGGAUGAUUUUAAUCUGGUUUUGGAAGAAUAUGUUUCUGGGGUGAUGGCUUUUAGAGAAUAUGUGACCUGUGGCUACCAGGAUUCAGCAACCCUCUCUCGGUCAAAGGGAGUGCCUCCCCUUCCCCAAUAAGUGAAACUUUAUUCCCUUAGAGAAAAGUGGCUUGGCCAUUCUACCAACUACCUGUAGCUGAUGUGACAAUGGUUCAAGGCAAGGCAGCCAAGGGUUCAGCAACCCUCGCUCGGUCAAAGGGAGUGCUUCCCCUUCCCCAAUAAGUGAAACUUUAUUCCCUUAGAGAAAAGUGGCUUGGCCAUUCUACCAACUACCUGUAGCUGAUGUGACAAUGGUUCAAGGCAAGGCAGCCA